rnacentral:rRNA from 1 species
BAGUAAGCGGAGGAAAAGAAAAUAACAAUGAUUUCCUCAGUAGCGGCGAGUGAAGAGGAAAAAGCCCAAGAU